rnacentral:lncRNA from 1 species
GUAGAGCCUUAUAAUUAUCCUCACAAUAAAAUAAAAUAUGUAAUGUUUUCUCAAGAUCCAAGAUAAUAAGUCAAGUCCAAAUAUUAAACUUGGAAUUGAUGUCACAAUACAAGUGCCUAUAACAUAAUUUAAACAUAAACAAUAAUCAAACAAACUUUUAAGAAAAACAUAAUAUAGGUUACAAAAUAAAUAUCCAUUUUAUUCUCGUACAUAAACACCUUGAUACUACUCCCCAGUCUUGUCAUGAGGAUAACCUAUAUAUACUAAUAGAAAAGAAACACAGAGAAAAAGGGGGUGAGAUUCUAUAAUAGAAAAAUAUAUAUUUAAAUAUAAUAUAUUGAGAAAUAUGAUAUAAGCGGGUAGCGGGAAUCGAACAAAUGGCACAUAAUAUCUAUGAUAUACGGGUUAUAAUGACAUUCAUUCAUAAUAUUUUAAGGGUUAUAAUGACAUUCAUUCAUGAACAUCUCUAAUUUAAAACUAAAUGUGAAACUUUUGUUUCAUUAAGCUCCUUUACAUAAUAUUUUAAGAGAUAUAUGAAAUACAUGAAGAAAAAAAAUGGCACAUAAUAUCUAUGAUAGCCUUUCGGUAUGAAUACAAUAUUAUUUGAAACUUAAAGUUGUACAAAAGUAGCAAUGCAUAGAAACAAACACACGGAUAUACGUUUAUGACUGCAACCCAUUUUAAGCGAACACAUAAUUGCAAAAGAGGUAUAUAUAUCAAAUGAACCGUUCAUAUACGCCUACUACAAUGCAUGUCGUACACAUUACUCGUACUUAAUAAAGUAGAAUAUGAUAACAAGGAAAGUAAAAGAAGAACCCAACCCCUUAGGGUGAAAUUUAGGACAUCACAUUCUCAAUAGUAUUAGAAUGUUAGGCAACUAGUCAGAGUUUCUCAACUAUAUAAAUAUGCCCUAAAAUCAAGGAAUCAUAAAGAGGUACUAGGGUUUCCACACCAAAGAGUUACUAGGGUUGACAAACCCCAUGGGGCCUUCACCAUCUAAUUCAUUUAAACUUCCACCCACAUCUUAAAAACACUCAAUAUGAUGUAUUUUCACAAAGUAACAUAAAAAAAUAUCAUUGUUUUAUUCUUCUAUAAAAAAUAUUAAUAUCAGUCCUUCCUUAUACAAUGUAGGUAUGUAAUAAAUAAAUUAUCAUCAAAGCACCAUCAUUGACUUUCUUGAGCUGCAUGUGCAACACAUAAAUUUUCAAGAGAAACCUUGUAAUUAAUUUAAAAGAAUAAUUCAUUUUUAUAAGAAUAAUUCAUUAGGAUCAUCUUUCAUAUUCAAUAUUUUACUUAUGUAAGAUAUGUCAUUGAUGAUAUAUUUUUCAUUUGUAAUAACAUAGUUAUGUAUUUGGAAUGUUUAAGGCAUUUAUAUGUUUAUUCUUCCUUAGUAUAUGUUAACUUAAGUAUAUUUUUAUUUUGUAGGUUUUAGUGUGAUUGUUGAUUAUUAUGAUCAUGAGGAUUAUAAGUAAGAUAAAGGUAAAUUAUUAUUAGGGAAACUAUGAUUAUGAUGAAAAUAAAUUAUGAGUAUGGCAAUCGACUAAUGUUAUGAAUAUGAAUGAAAAUAGAAACAUGACUUUGUCGUGCAAACAGAAAUUAUUAGUUAGUAAUUUUUACGGAUCAAGUUUUCAUGACUUAUAAAGAUUAUUGGUGGAGAAUUUCAUAAGGUUUCAUUGAUGUUACGUCACUACCGUGUGUAUGGGUGCACAUGAUGUAUUAUUGAUCCUAUCUUUUAUAAGGGGUAUUAUCAUUAUUGUGAACAUGGCUAGAUGCCACUAUAAUGGUCUAUUCUGGCCCAAAAUUUGGAUUCUGAUCAACUUAUAACAUUUUAACUACAUGAAAAGUAACAUGGCACUUUCACAUUGUUAUAAAGAGCAUUUGUGGCAUCAUAAUUUACCAGUUUGAUUGUGAACAAUUAGUUUAGCAUUUAUCAAAUACAUAGGAAUGAUCUGAAAUGAACUUUAAUGAUGAUGUAUAAUAUGAUUGUGUCCAGAAUCUGUGGUUGUUUAUUUUUGUGUUGUAAUUACUUCCAUCCCAUUAUUUUGACUUUUCUAGAGUCUUGGUCCCAUAUUUAAAAUGAUUCCCCUUUAGGGCUUUGGAUUUUAUUGUAUUGUUAGAGUACCCUUUAUACUCCUUUUUCAUUAUAUAUAUAUAUAUAUAUAUAUAUAUAUAUAUAUAUAUAUAUAUAUAUAUAUAUGAGAUCAAAUUACACCGAUUUAAUGUUACACCACUCAAUAUCGUUUUACUCGAUGCAUAUUUUUCAAAUUUGAAUGUUGGAUUGCAAGUUUUUAUCACAUAGAUCAUUCACGUAAAUUUUUACGAAAAUCUAAAAUCAUUUGAUAUGUUAUUCAGAUACAACAAAAUCAACGGUGUUUAUAAAAGUGAAUAAACAGUUAAUCUUAAUGUAUUUUAAUAACAUACAAAAUGAUUUUCGAUUUUCGUAAAAAUUUACGCGAAUGAUAUAUGUGAUAUAAAAUUACACUCCAACGAUCAAAUUUGAAAAAUAUGACGAUAUUGAAUGGUGUAACAUUAAAUCGGUGUACUUUGAUCCCUCCUCAUACAUAUAUAUACCCCUAAAAAAUAUAUUUAAAAUUUCUAUAAUGUGAUUAAAGAAAUUGCAAGGUAAAAGAAGUGCAUGAAAGAUAUGAACAAAUAAUAACAGUAACAAUAUUAUAAUGAGAAAAUAAAAUAAAAGGCUAAGAUCUAAAAGAGAAAUAAGUUUUACCCUAUUUGGUAUAGCUCACACAAUGACCGUAACGACACUUCGAUAGAUGUUGAUUGCCAUGGUAUUUUUUUUGGCAAUCAGCGCUAGUAACACACUCUCCUGUAAUAUAAAUUAAGGAUAACGAAAUAUUAUUAAAUAUGAGUGAAAUAUUUUCUCUAAGAUCAAAAAAAAUUAGAAUGAACUUACUAUCACCAUAAGUUACAUGAAGAAACAAACAAACAAAAA